rnacentral:rRNA from 1 species
GUCGAACGUCGUUUUCGGGGAGCUGGGAAGAAGGAAAAGAGGCUCAACGCUACUAAAGAAGGUAGCUGUCUCGCCAGAGGGGGAGCCGUUGAGAACAAAGUGGC